rnacentral:rRNA from 4 species
UUAAGCGACUAAGCGUACACGGUGGAUGCCCUGGCAGUCAGAGGCGAUGAAGGACGUGCUAAUCUGCGAUAAGCGUCGGUGAGGUGAUAUGAACCGUUAUAACCGGCGAUUUCCGAAUGGGGAAACCCAGUGUGAUUCGUCACACUAUCAUUAACUGAAUCCAUAGGUUAAUGAGGCGAACCGGGGGAACUGAAACAUCUAAGUACCCCGAGGAAAAGAAAUCAACCGAGAUUCCCCCAGUAGCGGCGAGCGAACGGGGAGGAGCCCAGAGCCUGAAUCAGUGUGUGUGUUAGUGGAAGCGUCUGGAAAGGCGCGCGAUACAGGGUGACAGCCCCGUACACAAAAAUGCACAUACUGUGAGCUCGAUGAGUAGGGCGGGACACGUGGUAUCCUGUCUGAAUAUGGGGGGACCAUCCUCCAAGGCUAAAUACUCCUGACUGACCGAUAGUGAACCAGUACCGUGAGGGAAAGGCGAAAAGAACCCCGGCGAGGGGAGUGAAAAAGAACCUGAAACCGUGUACGUACAAGCAGUGGGAGCCUCUUAAUGGGGUGACUGCGUACCUUUUGUAUAAUGGGUCAGCGACUUAUAUUCUGUAGCAAGGUUAACCGAAUAGGGGAGCCGAAGGGAAACCGAGUCUUAACUGGGCGUUAAGUUGCAGGGUAUAGACCCGAAACCCGGUGAUCUAGCCAUGGGCAGGUUGAAGGUUGGGUAACACUAACUGGAGGACCGAACCGACUAAUGUUGAAAAAUUAGCGGAUGACUUGUGGCUGGGGGUGAAAGGCCAAUCAAACCGGGAGAUAGCUGGUUCUCCCCGAAAGCUAUUUAGGUAGCGCCUCGUGAAUUCAUCUCCGGGGGUAGAGCACUGUUUCGGCAAGGGGGUCAUCCCGACUUACCAACCCGAUGCAAACUGCGAAUACCGGAGAAUGUUAUCACGGGAGACACACGGCGGGUGCUAACGUCCGUCGUGAAGAGGGAAACAACCCAGACCGCCAGCUAAGGUCCCAAAGUCAUGGUUAAGUGGGAAACGAUGUGGGAAGGCCCAGACAGCCAGGAUGUUGGCUUAGAAGCAGCCAUCAUUUAAAGAAAGCGUAAUAGCUCACUGGUCGAGUCGGCCUGCGCGGAAGAUGUAACGGGGCUAAACCAUGCACCGAAGCUGCGGCAGCGACACUAUGUGUUGUUGGGUAGGGGAGCGUUCUGUAAGCCUGUGAAGGUGGCCUGUGAGGGUUGCUGGAGGUAUCAGAAGUGCGAAUGCUGACAUAAGUAACGAUAAAGCGGGUGAAAAGCCCGCUCGCCGGAAGACCAAGGGUUCCUGUCCAACGUUAAUCGGGGCAGGGUGAGUCGACCCCUAAGGCGAGGCCGAAAGGCGUAGUCGAUGGGAAACAGGUUAAUAUUCCUGUACUUGGUGUUACUGCGAAGGGGGGACGGAGAAGGCUAUGUUGGCCGGGCGACGGUUGUCCCGGUUUAAGCGUGUAGGCUGGUUUUCCAGGCAAAUCCGGAAAAUCAAGGCUGAGGCGUGAUGACGAGGCACUACGGUGCUGAAGCGACAAAUGCCCUGCUUCCAGGAAAAGCCUCUAAGCAUCAGGUAACAUCAAAUCGUACCCCAAACCGACACAGGUGGUCAGGUAGAGAAUACCAAGGCGCUUGAGAGAACUCGGGUGAAGGAACUAGGCAAAAUGGUGCCGUAACUUCGGGAGAAGGCACGCUGAUAUGUAGGUGAAGCGACUUGCUCGUGGAGCUGAAAUCAGUCGAAGAUACCAGCUGGCUGCAACUGUUUAUUAAAAACACAGCACUGUGCAAACACGAAAGUGGACGUAUACGGUGUGACGCCUGCCCGGUGCCGGAAGGUUAAUUGAUGGGGUUAGCGGUAACGCGAAGCUCUUGAUCGAAGCCCCGGUAAACGGCGGCCGUAACUAUAACGGUCCUAAGGUAGCGAAAUUCCUUGUCGGGUAAGUUCCGACCUGCACGAAUGGCGUAAUGAUGGCCAGGCUGUCUCCACCCGAGACUCAGUGAAAUUGAACUCGCUGUGAAGAUGCAGUGUACCCGCGGCAAGACGGAAAGACCCCGUGAACCUUUACUAUAGCUUGACACUGAACAUUGAGCCUUGAUGUGUAGGAUAGGUGGGAGGCUUUGAAGUGUGGACGCCAGUCUGCAUGGAGCCGACCUUGAAAUACCACCCUUUAAUGUUUGAUGUUCUAACGUGGGCCCCUUACCGGGGUUGCGGACAGUGUCUGGUGGGUAGUUUGACUGGGGCGGUCUCCUCCUAAAGAGUAACGGAGGAGCACGAAGGUUGGCUAAUCCUGGUCGGACAUCAGGAGGUUAGUGCAAUGGCAUAAGCCAGCUUGACUGCGAGCGUGACGGCGCGAGCAGGUGCGAAAGCAGGUCAUAGUGAUCCGGUGGUUCUGAAUGGAAGGGCCAUCGCUCAACGGAUAAAAGGUACUCCGGGGAUAACAGGCUGAUACCGCCCAAGAGUUCAUAUCGACGGCGGUGUUUGGCACCUCGAUGUCGGCUCAUCACAUCCUGGGGCUGAAGUAGGUCCCAAGGGUAUGGCUGUUCGCCAUUUAAAGUGGUACGCGAGCUGGGUUUAGAACGUCGUGAGACAGUUCGGUCCCUAUCUGCCGUGGGCGCUGGAGAACUGAGGGGGGCUGCUCCUAGUACGAGAGGACCGGAGUGGACGCAUCACUGGUGUUCGGGUUGUCAUGCCAAUGGCACUGCCCGGUAGCUAAAUGCGGAAGAGAUAAGUGCUGAAAGCAUCUAAGCACGAAACUUGCCCCGAGAUGAGUUCUCCCUGACUCCUUGAGAGUCCUGAAGGAACGUUGAAGACGACGACGUUGAUAGGCCGGGUGUGUAAGCGCAGCGAUGCGUUGAGCUAACCGGUACUAAUGAACCGUGAGGCUUAACCUU